AUUGAACGCUGGCGGCAGGCUUAACACAUGCAAGUCGAGCGGGGUGAUGGUGCUUGCACUAUCACUUAGCGGCGGACGGGUGAGUAACGCUUAGGAAUCCGCCUAUUAGUGGGGGACAACAUCUCGAAAGGGAUGCUAAUACCGCAUACGUCCUACGGGAGAAAGCAGGGGAUCACUUGUGACCUUGCGCUAAUAGAUGAGCCUAAGUCGGAUUAGCUAGGUGGUGGGGUAAAGGCCUACCAAGGCGACGAUCUGUAGCGGGUCUGAGAGGAUGAUCCGCCACACUGGGACUGAGACACGGCCCAGACUCCUACGGGAGGCAGCAGUGGGGAAUAUUGGACAAUGGGGGGAACCCUGAUCCAGCCAUGCCGCGUGUGUGAAGAAGGCCUUAUGGUUGUAAAGCACUUUAAGCGAGGAGGAGGCUCUUUUGGUUAAUACCCAAGAUGAGUGGACGUUACUCGCAGAAUAAGCACCGGCUAACUCUGUGCCAGCAGCCGCGGUAA
rnacentral:rRNA from 1 species